rnacentral:tmRNA from 1 species
GGGGCUGAUUCUGGAUUCGACGGGAUUUGCGAAACCCAAGGUGCAUGCCGAGGGGCGGUUGGCCUCGUAAAAAGCCGCAAAAAAUAGUCGCAAACGACGAAAACUACGCUUUAGCAGCUUAAUAACCUGCUUAGAGCCCUAUCUCCCUAGCCUCCGCUCUUAGGACGGGGAUCAAGAGAGGUCAAACCCAAAAGAGAUCGCGUGGAAGCCCUGCCUGGGGUUGAAGCGUUAAAACUUAAUCAGGCUAGUUUGUUAGUGGCGUGUCCGUCCGCAGCUGGCAAGCGAAUGUAAAGACUGACUAAGCAUGUAGUACCGAGGAUGUAGGAAUUUCGGACGCGGGUUCAACUCCCGCCAGCUCCACCA